rnacentral:rRNA from 1 species
UACGUAGAAGACUAGUGUUAUUCAUCUUUAAUAGGUUUAAAGGGUACCUAGACGGUAUAAUUAGUCUUAAACAGGAUACGAUUAUACUAGAGUUAUAUAUGAGGAGGUGAGUAUUUAUGCAGUAGAGUUGAAAUUCGUUUAUAGCAUAACGACUGGUAACGGCGAAAGCAACCUUUUAUCUAAUAACUGACGUUGAGGACGAAGGCUCGGGUAACGAACAGG